rnacentral:rRNA from 1 species
UACGUAGGUGGCGAGCGUUAUCCGGAAUUACUGGGCGUAAAGCGCGCGUAGGCGGUUUUUUAAGUUUGAUGUGAAAGCCCACGGCUCAACCGUGGAGGGGCAUUGGAAACUGGAAAACUUGAGUGCAGAAGAGGAGAGUGGAAUUCCAUGUGUAGCGGUGAAAUGCGUAGAUAUAUGGAGGAACACCAGUGGCGAAGGCGACUCUCUGGUAUGCAACUGACGCUGAGGCCCGAAAGCGUGGGGAGCAAACAGG